AACCCCAGCCCUGUCAUCUUUACUUGGUGGCUGGUGGCCUUUCAUUCGUUCUAUAAGAAUAAUUUAGCUUUUGGGAAGGGCUGCUAUUUAAACUAUAAAUUCCUCCCCAAGGCCAGUUCAGCCUACGCCCCGGAAUGGAUAAGACCGGUUUGGGGUGAGAAGAGGAAGUCGGUUAGGUCUGGUGCCCUUGGUCACGAUUUCGGGCCUGGUGCCCUCAGGGCGGUCGUGCCCUUGGUCACGAUUUCAGGCCUGGUGCCCUCAGGGCGGUCGUGCCCUUGGUCACGAUUUCAGACCUGGUGCCCUCAGGGCCGUCGUCCUUGGUCACGAUUUCAGGCCUGGUGCCCUCAGGGCCGUCGUCCUUGGUCACAAUUUCAGGCCUGGUGCCCUCAGGGCGGUCGUGCCCUUGGUCACGAUUUCAGGCCUGGUGCCCUCAGGGCCGUCGUCCUUGGUCACGAUUUCAGGCCUGGUGCCCUCAGGGCCGUCGUCCUUGGUCACGAUUUCAGGCCUGGUGCCCUCAGGGCGGUCGUGCCCUUGGUCACGAUUUCAGGCCUGGUGCCCUCAGGGCCAUCGUCCUUGGUCACAAUUUCAGGCCUGGUGCCCUCAGGGCCGUCGUCCUUGGUCACGAUUUCAGGCCUGGUGCCCUCAGGGCCGUUGCCCUUGGUCACGAUUUCAGGCCUGGUGCCCUCAGGGCCGUCGUCCUUGGUCACGAUUUCAGGCCUGGUGCCCUCAGGGCGGUCGUCCUUGGUCACGAUUUCAGGCCUGGUGCCCUCAGGGCGGUCGUGCCCUUGGUCACGAUUUCAGGCCUGGUGCCCUCAGGGCCGUCAUCCUUGGUCACGAUUUCAGGCCUGGUGCCCUCAGGGCCGUCGUCCUUGGUCACGAUUUCAGGCCUGGUGCCCUCAGGGCGGUCGUGCCCUUGGUCACGAUUUCAGGCCUGGUGCCCUCAGGGCCGUCGUCCUUGGUCACGAUUUCAGGCCUGGUGCCCUCAGGGCCGUCGUGCCCUUGGUUGCAAUUUCAGGGCAAUUCAGUGGUGUCUGUGCAUCUCUCAUCGUCUCCAGGUUUCGAGUCACAGUCAUUCCUCGAGCAGGAUGUUUACAGUGCUGCUGUGUUCUUCUGGAAUGCUUUGGAUUUAUUUUUAAAUUUAACUUGAUUAUUCCAGACACAUUUGGUGUGAGUGUGAGGUGA
rnacentral:lncRNA from 1 species